CGCCGGCGCCCCAAAGGAGCGGCCGCCCCUGUCUGCCGCUCCGCCGCCGCCGCCGCCGCUCCCGCGGAGCCUCCUCCCGCGCGCCGCUCCUCCGAUGGAGCUCGGGCGCCGCCGCCGCCGCCGCCGCUGCCCCGAUCCCUGAGCCCGCGGCCCGGGCCGGAGGGACGCGCCGCCCCGCCGAGGGUGCCGGGCGCCCGGGCGCUCGCUGAGGCCCGGGGGCCGCGAGGAGCGAGGGGACUAGGAAGUGCUGCUCUCUCGGGCCACUCGCUCGCCGGCGGGCAGACCAUGGCACUGAAGGACACCGGCAGCGGCGGCGGCACCAUCCUGCCCAUUAGCGAGAUGGUCUCCUCGUCCGGCGCGCCCGGCGCGUCGGCGGCCGCCGCCGCGGGGCCCUGCGCGCCGUCGCCCUUCCCCGAGGUGGUGGAGCUGAACGUGGGCGGCCAGGUCUAUGUGACCAAGCACUCGACGCUGCUCAGCGUCCCGGACAGCACUCUGGCCAGCAUGUUCGCGCCCUCCAGCCCCCGGGGCGGCGCCCGGCGGCGGGGCGAGCUGCCCAGGGACAGCCGGGCGCGCUUCUUCAUCGACCGCGACGGCUUCCUCUUCAGGUACGUGCUGGACUACCUGCGCGACAAGCAGCUGGCGCUGCCCGAGCACUUCCCCGAGAAGGAGCGGCUGCUGCGCGAGGCCGAGUACUUCCAGCUCGCCGACCUGGUCAAGCUGCUGUCGCCCAAGGUCACCAAGCAGAACUCGCUCAACGACGAGGGCUGCCAGAGCGACCUGGAGGACAACGGCUCGCAGGGCAGCGGCGACGCCCUCCUGCUGCGCGGGGCGGCGGCGGCGGCGGCCGCGCCCUCGGGCCCCGCGGCGCACGCGCCGGACAGGCGCUCGGGCUUCCUCACGCUGGGCUACCGCGGCUCCUACACCACGGUGCGCGACAACCAGGCCGACGCCAAGUUCCGGCGCGUGGCGCGCAUCCUGGUGUGCGGGCGCAUCGCGCUGGCCAAGGAGGUCUUCGGGGACACGCUCAACGAGAGCCGCGACCCGGACCGGCAGCCCGAGAAGUACACGUCGCGCUUCUACCUCAAGUUCACCUACCUGGAGCAGGCGUUCGACCGCCUGUCGGAGGCCGGCUUCCACAUGGUGGCGUGCAACUCCUCGGGCGGCGCCGCGCUCGUCGCCCAGCACCGCGACGACCGGGUCUGGAGCAGCUACACCGAGUACAUCUUCUUCCGUAAGUCCGCGCGCGGCGUUUCCCGUCGCUCCCCGCGCGCUCGGCGACCGCGGCGGGUCCGAGGCCGGGCUGGGCCCCGGCGGGGUGUCCCGGGCGGGAGCCGGAACUGCUGUCCCCGCGCCGCCUUGCUCGCGGUCCCCGCUCCCUCUGCACGGCCUUUCUCUGUGGCCCCCGCUCCCGCGCGGCGCUUCCUGAACUUCAUCGAUCGCGCCCUCGCCGCGUCCGCCCCUGCACGUUCGAGGCGUCCCCCCUCGCGGAGGACCGCGGAGGAGACUGGAGCGCGGGGCUGUGCGCGGGUCCUCCCUCAUCUCUCCGCUUCCGCGGGACCCCUGGUGGGAAGCCCACGUGGCUCUCCGUGGUGUCCUUACGGGGGACAGGGUGGCGCCGAGGCGUCCCCGCGCUGCCAGCGUCAGCUCCUGUCGGUGCGGGCGCGGCGCGGGAGCUUCGGUUACCGGGGCGACGGGACAAGGGACGGCGGUGUCGCCAGAGCCCCUCGGGGCGGGGGCGUGAGGGCGGCUGGCGGAAAAGACGUCCCCGCUGACCGCUGGGAGUCCGGGUUUUCCCGCGCAGUUGUCGCCAGUGCGAGAGCGCGGUGUCUGGGACCAGGGGAGGGAGGGGGUGGAAGGAACUAG